rnacentral:rRNA from 1 species
GUGGCGAACGGGUGAGUAACACGUGAGCAAUCCGCCCUUGACUCUGGGAUAACUGCGGGAAACUGUAGCUAAUACCGGAUACUUUCCUCGCUGGGCAUCCAGCGGGGAAGAAAGAAUUUCGGUCAAGGAUGAGCUCGCGGCCUAUCAGCUAGUUGGUGAGGUAAUGGCUCACCAAGGCGACGACGGGUAGCCGGCCUGAGAGGGUGACCGGCCACACUGGAACUGAGACACGGUCCAGACUCCUACGGGAGGCAGCAGUGGGGAAUAUUGCACAAUGGGCGAAAGCCUGAUGCAGCAACGCCGCGUGAGGGAUGAAGGCCUUCGGGUUGUAAACCUCUUUUAGCAGGGAAGAAGCGAAAGUGACGGUACCUGCAGAAAAAGCACCGGCUAACUACGUGCCAGCAGCCGCGGUAAUACGUAGGGUGCAAGCGUUGUCCGGAAUUAUUGGGCGUAAAGAGCUCGUAGGCGGUUUGUCACGUCUGCUGUGAAAAUCCGAGGCUCAACCUCGGACUUGCAGUGGGUACGGGCAGGCUAGAGUGCGGUAGGGGAGAAGGGAAUUCCUGGUGUAGCGGUGGAACGCGCAGAUAUCAGGAGGAACACCAAUGGCGAAGGCACUUCUCUGGGCCGUAACUGACGCUGAGGAGCGAAAGCGUGGGGAGCGAACAGGAUUAGAUACCCUGGUAGUCCAC